rnacentral:rRNA from 1 species
ACGGGAGGCAGCAGUGGGGAAUAUUGGGCAAUGGACGAAAGUCUGACCCAGCGACGCCGCGUGAGGGAAGAAGAUCUUCGGAUUGUAAACCUUUGUCAACAGAGACGAAACAAAUGACGGUAUCUGUGGAGGAAGCCACGGCUAACUACGUGCCAGCAGCCGCGGUAAUACGUAGGUGGCGAGCGUUAUCCGGAUUUACUGGGUGUAAAGGGUGUGUAGGCGGGGAGGCAAGUCAGAUGUGAAAUGUAUGAGCUCAACUCAUGAAGUGCAUUUGAAACUGUUUCUCUUGAGUAUCGGAGGGGUAAAUGGAAUUCCUGGUGUAGCGGUGAAAUGCGUAGAUAUCAGGAGGAACACCGGUGGCGAAGGCGAUUUACUGGACGAUAACUGACGCUGAGACACGAAAGCGUGGGGAGCAAACAGGAUUAGAUACCCUGGUA